UAAGGAAUAUUGGUCAAUGGGCGGAAGCCUGAACCAGCCAUGCCGCGUGCAGGAUGACUGCCCUAUGGGUUGUAAACUGCUUUUGUCCAGGAAUAAACCUAGAUACGUGUAUCUAGCUGAAUGUACUGGAAGAAUAAGGAUCGGCUAACUCCGUGCCAGCAGCCGCGGUAAUACGGAGGAUCCGAGCGUUAUCCGGAUUUAUUGGGUUUAAAGGGUGCGUAGGCGGCCUAUUAAGUCAGGGGUGAAAUACGGUGGCUCAACCAUCGCAGUGCCUUUGAUACUGAUGGGCUUGAAUCCAUUUGAAGUGGGCGGAAUAAGACAAGUAGCGGUGAAAUGCAUAGAUAUGUCUUAGAACUCCGAUUGCGAAGGCAGCUCACUAAGCUGGUAUUGACGCUGAUGCACGAAAGCGUGGGGAUCGAACAGGAUUAGAUACCCUGGUAGUCCACGCCCUAAACGAUGAUAACUCGAUGUUGGCGAUAGACAGCCAGCGUCCAAGCGAAAGCGUUAAGUUAUCCACCUGGGGAGUACGCCCGCAAGGUGAAACUCAAAUGAAUUGACGGGG
rnacentral:rRNA from 1 species